rnacentral:misc_RNA from 2 species
GUACUCUCACACUUCUAAUUCUUUGGAUUGGGAGCGGUGGACUUGGGUGUUGCUGCUUUACUGUGGCUCAUCUCUAAUGCAUUAGUGCAACUCUUGGUUGGACAUAGUACGGCGUGAUAAGUGUCUUCGCCGGCACCUCGCAAGAGGGUGGCUGAUCAGGAGCUCUGUGCUUCCAACCGUCCUUGGACAAUGACUGACA